AAGCAUCUUAUCUAUGCGCCAUCACCACCCCAAAUUAUUUUUUUAAACAUUACCCACUGCUGCUAAGAUGCUAAGACUGAUCUUGAAUAGCUACAAUGAAGGUCAGCUGAUGACCAUGACUACAGUGCUAAAGGCAUGGAUUUGUCCACUGUACAGGUUUGAAGUACCAGCAGCAACUCACCAUGCCGAUGGAAGGGCCCAGGCCUCCAGUCAUCUCCAUCUGGUGGUGUUUCAUGAUGUAGGCAAGCAACUCUUUCCACUCAUAGCCAUCGGGGAUGGCAAUGGUGGUGACGGAGGGAAGCCUUAAGUCCUGCAAGACAGACAUGUCACAAAAUGACUGUGGUCACAACCAGGGCAACACUAAUGAGGGAUGAAGAGCUUGAGACCCAAGUCCUCCAGUCCUCUGUACAGGUGACCAAUUAUCGGCCUGGACCCUGCAGCUAAGACACGUGGAGGAACGUUUGAGGGUCCUGGUCCGAACAGGUGACGCAGUGGAACUUCCAGCGGCCGGAGCAUGCAAGCCGGCGGCGGGAUGGUGACGGAGGACAUGGAGCGGUCCAGUCGCUGGAGCAGGGGCGCGCUCCUCGCGGCCAGCGGACUGUCAAGGGCCGCUGCUGCCUGCUGGGCGAGCAGCGCGCUCCGGCUGAACAAAGCCCGCUGCAUCACGGCUGGUGUACUGGUUCCUGAGAAACCUGCAGCUAGUGAGAUCACCACCGACAGAUGAAGAGACUGAACCUGUGACUUUUGGGUGAUCAUUUAAACAAACUGGUCUUUGACCUGUUGACCAUGUGACAGUGUGCCUCCCCUUAUUACCAACCCUGCUCUUUAUGGGUUAGCAAUAAGGGAUUUGGCGUGAAGUUAUUAUGGGAAAAAAGUGUAUCAUUUUGUAAAUAUUUGAUGAAUGGCUGCAGGUAUUUUCACAGCAUUUCAAGGUUUAAAACUUUUAAAACUUUAAAAACUAGAAAAUACUCAAACUGCUUCUGAGCAGGUGGUUAUCAAAGCCUCUUUCCCAUUUGGAUGAGACUAUAUUUGGAAAUAUAUAAAACAAAUCAUGGUGAAUUAUUUAGUACACUUCAAAUGACAAGCAAGAUAUUUUAAUCUUUUCCAGGCCAGAAUUUAAGAAGUCUUACCAAAGUAAAGACUCAUCGGUGCAUGUUGGUAUUUGUUACAGUUUGGAUCCACCAGGACUGUUUUUGUGACCGGUCUAGAUCCAGAGCACUUGGGUCAACUCUUAUGGAAAAGUGUACUUGGCAGCUUAGAACUGGUUUAGGUUAGUUUGCAGGUUUAUUGAUUUUUUCUGCCCCUUCAGUCACAGCAGCAUUGGGUUUGUAAAGAGGUGUCUCCUCUCAGGGAGCCAAUCUGGGGACAGACACACCCACACCCACCCACCUACACACACAGACACACACACGCAUGCAAAUCAAUACUCAUCAUGGAAAAUGGUUCAGUCUUAUUGUCUUUAUUGUUAAGGUUGGGUAAUUUCCUGUCAGACUUUGUUCUGUUGAGUUUAUAAGUAUAUAAUAAGUGUAAGAUGUAAGUUUCAAGUUAACAGUGGGCUCAAAAGUUUGAUUAAUGAUUAAACUUUUGUUGCCUAGAAAACACAGAUUGUGAAAAGAUCUAGCUGAGACAGAACUGCAGAAUGGAUCACAUUUUAUUUGUGGAAAGUGUUGUCCACACACACACACACACACACAUUUUUCUCAAGAGAAAGAGGAUUACAUUGGUGGUAUUGUACGAUGUAUAAUGGAAAUUAUUUAACAAAAGCAACUUCUGCAAGUUUUGAUAGGACCUGUAUGGAAAAUGCACACGGCAGAGUUGAUGAGGUGGUGCCAUAUGGUCAGAAACACUCCUUGAUUUCAGGCAUUGUUGUCAAGCUUUGAGGACCUCUGACUGGUCAGAUUUUAUUGUGUCCUUGUUUGGGUGACUUGUAUCUGUAUUUUUAGCUGCUCUGCUGAGAUCAUUUCACUCUAGAUUCAUUUUAGUGCCAAGUUUGUACAGAGCUGUCCAACCCCAGUGAGAAAGCCAUAUUGUUUAAUGGUGCAAGAGUUGCUGUAUUCUCAAAACAAAACAUUACAGUGAAGAGUGAGCAGAAACAAGUUUAUGCUCUCAUUGAUGAGUUCUGCUGGAGGUGAGCAUUACUGUGGAUCACCACAUGUCACAAAAUAUCCAAAACAUUGAUAUAUUCUUAAGUUUUAUGCUCAAAAACGUUUUAGUUUAACAUCAUGUAAAUAUCAACAUCUGCCGGUUGUUUGUUUUAAUGUAAGAACAGUUAUUAAUCAUUGAAGUUGUGUUUUUAAGGAUGUUAAAGAUGGAAAGGGGUAUAGGUAUACCUACACCAUUCAGUUCAAACAUUCACAUUAACUUUUUACUGUGAUGUUAAAGAUUUAUUCUGAUCAAGUGCUUUACUUUAUAAAUAUCUUAACAAGCUGAAUGGGAAACAAAAGCAAGGUUUUGCUAAACUUAAGAGAUUAUGUUUAUUCUUUGCCCUUUCUCUGUAACUGAGUAUUUUUUUUUUUAUUUUUUUUUUUACUGUUUUUUCUUAGCUAGGAGGAUUAAGGUGCCCCUCUCUGAGUCUGGCUGGGUAAAUAAUUACACCACUGGUAAAUAAAUGGGACCUGUGUUGAUCUCUGAAUGGCCUUUGCACUGGACUGAACACUUAAAAUUGUACACAAACAAAGCAGGAGGAGGUAUAGACAAAAAGAGAGAGAAAGAGGGGAGUCAAUAGUGAUGCCAAACAGCCUCAAAAUGAGGUAAAUAUGGAAAAGGCCUUGGCCAAUUCAAACUAUCUCAUCCUAGUUUAAAUAAUAAAGAUGCUUUUAAUUA